rnacentral:ncRNA from 1 species
CUAAAGUCGAUGAAGGGGAAAAGUAGGCCGGAAACAGUUCUCCAGGGAGGAGGCGCCGGCGACUGGAAGCGCCUCCAGAACAUGACCGGUUGAAGUUCUCCCCGGAGAUGCAGGCUGAAACCCGUUACCGCGGGCAAGUAGGCCGUGCCGUAGUCUUCCUACGUUACCGGGAAGGGGGUAUCGGAAAGACACAUUCCCGUACCCUGUGUUGAGGUGGGCCGUUUUUGCGGUCAAGUAGGGUGGUAACGCGGAAAGCAGUAUGCUUCUCGUCCCUAAAGGUGCGAGGAGCUUUUAUUUUUCCCGUUGCUGCAGGGGGUGUUUUUCCCGUACCCUGAUCGAGGGGGCCGGGUUUUUCCGGCCAAUUGGGGUGGUACCGCGGAAGUCCGCUGCUUUCGUCCCCAGG